GAUGAAGAACGUAGCGAAAUGCGAUACUUGGUGUGAAUUGCAGAAUCCCGUGAACCAUCGAGUCUUUGAACGCAAGUUGCGCCUCAAGCCAUUAGGUUGAGGGCACGUCUGCCUGGGCGUCACAUAUCGUUGCCUGAUGCCAGUUUCCUCGUGAUGGGUGACUGUGCAGGGCGAAUGAUGGCUUCCCGUGAGCAUUGUUGCCUCAUGGUUGGUUGAAAAUUGAGUGCAUGGUGUCGGGUGUACCAUGAUGGAUGGUGGUUGAGUGAUGAUGCUCGAGACCAAUCAUGGGUAACUCCACCAGAAUUGGGCUCGGUGACCCACAUGCGUCCCUUGGAUGCUCCCUAAGGAGACCUCAGGUCAGGCGGGGCUACCCGCUGAGUUUAAGCAUAUCAAUAAGCGGAGGA
rnacentral:misc_RNA from 1 species